GGGUCAGUAGGUUGGUCGUGCCACCGGUACGUACUGGUCUCACUGAUUCCUCCUUCCUGAAGAACCGUAAUGCCAUUAAUUUGGUGUUGCGGGGAAACAGGACUGUUACUUCGAAAAAAUUAGAGUGUUUAAAGCAAGCUAACGCUUGAAUACAUUAGCAUGGAAUAAUGAAAUAGGACGAUCGAUCCUAUUUUGUUGGUUUCCAGGAUUGACGUA
rnacentral:rRNA from 1 species